GGUUCGAUCAUGGCUCAGAUUGAACGCUGGCGGGAUGCUUUACACAUGCAAGUCGAACGGCAGCACGGACUUCGGUCUGGUGGCGAGUGGCGAACGGGUGAGUAAUGCAUCGGAACGUGCCUAGUAGCGGGGGAUAACUACGAAAGCGUAGCUAAUACCGCAUACGCCCUUCGGGGGAAAGCGGGGACCUUCGGGCCUCGCACUAUUAGAGCGGCCGAUAUCGAUCAUUGCCAGUUGUGGGCAACGGUCACCAUAUGACGAUCCGCUGGUUUGAGAGAACGAUCUCAAACACAUCGGGACCGAGACACGGCCCAGACUCCUACGGAGGCAGCAGUAAAUUUGACGAAUGGGGAAACCUGGAUUCAGCCAUCCGGUGUGGUAGCGAUGAAGGCCUUCUGGUUGUGGUGCGAAUUUUGAGAGAGAAACGGCACGGGAUAAUACCCCGUGCAAUCCGAUUGGUACCUGCAGAAUAAGCACCGGCGAACACGCCAGCAGCCGCGGUAAUACGUGAGGUGUGCUGCUAAUUCCGGAAUUACUGGGGCGUAUGCAGGCGGGUUCGGGAAAGAAAGAUGUGAAAUCCCAGAGCUUAACUUUGAACUGCAUUUAACUACCGAGCUAGAGUGUGUCAGAGGAAAAAGAAUUCCGCGUAGCAGUGAAAUGUGUAGAUAUGCGGAGGAACACCGAUGGCGAAGGCAGCCCCUGGGAUAACACUGACGCUCAUGCACGAAAGCAGGGGAGCAAACAGACAGAUAAUUUUCGGUAGUCCACGCCCAAACAGAUCAACGGCUGUUGGGGCCUUCGGGCUCUGGUAGCGCAGCUAACGCGUGAAGUUGACCGCCUGGGGAGUACGGUCGCAAGAUUAAAACUCAAGAACGAUGGGACCACGCGCUGGUGAUGAUGUGGAUUGACCGGAUGCAACGCGAAAACUUACCUACCCUUGACAUGUCUUGAAUCCCAAAGAGAUUUGGGAGUGUCGUGUUAGAACCGGAACACAGGUGCUGCAUGGCCGCUGCCGUCGUGUCGAUGUUGGGUUAAGUCCCGCAACGAGCGCAACCUCGUCAUUAGUUACGAAAGGGCACUCUACGAGACUGCCGGUGACAAACCGGAGGAAGGUGGGGAUGACGUCAAGUCCUCAUGGCCCUUAUGGGUAGGGCUUCACACGCUUAUACCAAAUGGUCGGGACAGAGGGUCGCCAACCGCGAGGGGAGUCAACCCAAACUGAUCGUAGUCCGAUCGCGGUUCGCAACUGACCGCGUGAAGUCGGAAUCGGCGCAGGUAAUCGCGAUCAGCAUGUCGCGGUGAAUAACAUGUUCCGGCUCCGUACACCGCCCGUCACACCAUGGAGUGGUUUCACCAGAAGUAGUUAGUCGGGAACUGGUAAGAGGCGACACGGCAGGAUUCACAUCGUGUGUGAAGUCAACAAGGCAAC
rnacentral:rRNA from 1 species